GAAUCGUGUGCAGUGCAUUUCUUCUCCGUCGGUCCUGUCCGCCACUCGGCGUGUCUCGCCUCACCUCGCCGUCAAAGUCCUGUCCGCCACUCACUCGGCGUAUGCUUCUUCUUGUGUUAAAAUUUGAAAAAAGAAAAAAUUGGUGAUUGGAGUUGAUGGUUCAGGUACCAAUUUAGUUACCAUGGUCAUUGGGUUUGGGAUGAGUGCCACUUUCAUGUGUUUAUGUGCACAAGAAUCAAUUGUGGGAGGAUAAGAGAGAGUGUUGAAUCUCGCAUGAUGUAUGAGAUUGAAUCUAGAAUUGAUAUAGAACAGCCAGAAUAUCAUGCUAAUGACCCUGAACCCGAGCCUGUUAUGCUUGAUGCAAUCCCCAUUUUGAAGUUCAACCAAGAGGCCUUCAGUGCUAUUGAAGAUACACAGUUAAAUUUGGUCUCUCAGUUUCAGCUCAUGCAUAACUUGCACCUCAUAUGUCCCUUAACCUCGUAUUGUAACUUCUAGUGUUUUCUAGAUACUGUAAUUGUCUUAAUAACAUCGUUUUUUAAGAAAAGCACUUCAUGGAUUCGAAAUAAGCUCAACCAAGGAGUCAAUGAAUGGAUAACUAAUUCGCAUUACUUCUAUAGGUGUGUCAUAUGUUUGGCAGAUUACAGAGAAAGAGAAGUGUUACGCAUCAUGCCGAAAUGCGAUCACACAUUUCAUCUUUCUUGCAUUGACAUAUGGCUAAGAAAACAAUCCACUUGCCCGGUAUGCCAUUUGCCGUUAAAAAACUCAUCCGAGGCGAAACAUGUUAGAACUAUUACAUUUACCAUGAGCCAGCCUCUUGAUGAGUCACACAAGAAUCGACCGUUAUCAAUGUUAUUGUUGAUCCCUAUGUUGGUUCAGAAAGUGGGAGGUUGCAAUAGAAGAACUGAUUUUUAGAUUAUUUGUAUUA